GGACAUGUCUAGGGCCCUGGCAACUGACUAAUGUUCUCUUUAUCAUUACAUUCCCCAUACUUGUUCAGUAGAAAUAGACCUGUCUUAGGUCUAUGGCAUACCAGUAGCUGUGCUCCUUUGCUAGAACCUCCAAACAAGCUCUCAAGAUCCAUUUCUAGGAAAACAUAGGGUAGUUAAGCUUCCAGUACUCCAAACACACCCACAUGAAGCACUGCACAUGACAGUCUGCCUUUCACC
rnacentral:snRNA from 1 species